ACCGUCUAGAAGUGAAGAUGAGGUUAGAGAGUCUCUACAAUCUCUUUCUUCCAAAGAGCUGUCCUCCAUCGACACCGAACACCUGUAGUUUUAAUACAGCUUCCGCACACAGAGUUUCCUUGCUUUCUCUUGCUUGGAUUUUGGAUUAUAUCAUUACAAGGGAAUAAUGAGUGACAAGAUCAGAAGCAUGUCUUAGAAACAGUUGGAAGAAGGCACUGUUCUUCCAACAGUGACAAAGGCUAUCGGUGAUAUGGAACUGAGCUUUAGGAAAGCUAUCAAGAUAAUCCAGCCGCAAAGCUCUUCAGUUCCCUCAUUUGUUUGAUGUCUCUUUUACCUACCUUGAAGGUUGACUAAGACAUUUCACUUCUGGCAACUAACACCGUGCUUGGCAUUUAAAAGAAGGGCGGUGAUAAUGGUAAGUUGCUACUGCAGGCCUCAAAUUACCCUAAACAGAUGCAUAUCUUGUUGCCAAAAAAGGGAUUAUAAACUUUCUAAAGGGAAACUCUUCCAAUGUAUUUAAAGAACUCUUCUUUUUUUUCAUUCUUUAUAUCUUGCAUAAUUUUAAGUUCUUAGAAAAUACUUGCUGAAUAAAAAUACACAACCACAUAUCA
rnacentral:lncRNA from 1 species